rnacentral:rRNA from 1 species
CAGGUCUUGACAUAUUCUGCGAAGCUAUAGAAAUAUAGUAGAGGUUACCAGAAAUACAGGUGGUGCAUGGUUGUCGUCAGCUCGUGUCGUGAGAUGUUAGGUUAAGUUCUAAAACGAGCGCAACCCUUAUCGUUAGUUACCAGCAUGUUAUGAUGGGGACUUUAGCGAGACUGCCAAUGAAAAAUUGGAGGAAGGUGAGGAUUACGUCAAAUCAUCAUGCCCCUUAUGAUCUGGGCUACAAACGUGAUACAAUGGCUAUUACAAAGAGUAGCUGAAACGUGAGUUUUUAGCCAAUCUCAAAAAAAUAGUCUCAGUUCGGAUUGAAGUCUGCAACUCGACUUCAUGAAGUUGGAAUCGCUAGUAAUCGCGAAUCAGCAUGUCGCGGUGAAUACGUUCUCGGGGUUUGUACACACCGCCCGUCAAACCACGAAAGUUGACAAUACCCAAAAACGGUAGCCUAACUACGCAAGUAGAGGGAUCCGUCUAAGGUAGGGUUGAUGAUUGGGGUUAAGUCGUAACAAGGUAUCCCUACCGGAAGGUGGGGAUGGAUCACCUCCUUUCUA